rnacentral:tRNA from 1 species
GUAAUUUUAGUUUAAGUAAAAUUGUGAUCUGUCUAGUCAUAGAUGAUAUAUGAAUAUCAAGUUACU